AUACCCUUGUUCAGAAGAUUCAGGAAUCAAGUGAGGGGAUGCUUCGCUAUGAUACACCUAGAAUUCUUUCCAAGGACAAGUUUGCAUGGCUCCGUGACGAUGAGUUUGCUUGACAGACUGUGGCAGGAAUAAACCCAGUUAGCAUCACCAGGCUCACGAUUUUCCCACCAGUAAGCAAGAUGGAUCCUGCAAUCUAUGGCCCGCCAGAAUCAUCGAUCACAGAAGCGCACAUCACUGGACAACUCAAUGGACUCACAGUACAAUAGGUAACUUCAGU